rnacentral:rRNA from 1 species
UGAUCGCACGGUCACAGUACCGGCGACGCACUUUCUAAUAGUCUGACUUAUCAACUGUCGAUGGUAGGCGUCUGCGCCUACCAUGGUUGUAACGGGUAACGGGGAAGUCAGGGUUCGGAUUCCGGAGAGGGAGCCUGAGAAACGGCUACCACAUCCAAGGAAGGCAGCAGGCGCGCAAAUUACCCACUCCCGGCACGGGGAGGUAGUGACGAAAAAUAACGAUACGGGACUCAUCCGAGGCCCCGUAAUCGGAAUGAGUACACUUUAAAUACUUUAACGAGUACCAAUUGGAGGGCAAGUCUGGUGCCAGCAGCCGCGGUAAUUCCAGCUCCAAUAGCGUAUAUUAAAGUUGUUGCGGUUAAAAAGCUCGUAGUUGGAUCUGUGUGCCACGCUGUCGGUUCACCGCCGUCGGUGUAACUGGCAUGUCUGGUGGGACGUCCUGGCCGGUGGCGGUACGGGCUGUCGGCGCGUGGCGGUACGGGGUUCCGCCCCGAAGCGACGUCGGCGUCGUCCCGGUCGCAUUCACUCCGCGCGGUGUCUCUUCACGUG